rnacentral:rRNA from 1 species
GACGAAGGAUGCAAGCGUUAUCCGGAUUCAUUGGGUUUAAAGGGAGCGUAGGCGGACUUGUAAGUCAGUGGUGAAAUCUGUGGGCUUAACCCAUAAACUGCCAUUGAUACUGCAGGUCUAGAGUACAGUUGCCGUUGGCGGAAUAUGACAUGUAGUGGUGAAAUACUUAGAUAUGUCAUAGAACACCGAUUGCGAAGGCAGCCCCCUGGGUCAAGAUUGACGCUCAUGCACGAAAGCGUGGGGAGCAAACAGG